rnacentral:rRNA from 1 species
AAACCGCUUAGGGGUUAAACCCGAUGAACCUGAAUAUCUGAAUUGAGAAAUUCAAUAUUAUGUUAGUGGUUUUAUUAAACUGCCAACUGGUAUGCACUUUUCUCAUAGUAAGACAUUGCGAUCUAUUAGUAUUGCCGCAAGGCAUUAAAUUUAUCAAACGGCCUGUAUGUAUAGUUUAUUCUAUCUGUGACAAUUUUCAAUUGUUAUAUGAAUAAAUACGUUGCGGUGUCCUGAUAAAUAACUGAUAGAGCUUAAAAAUCAUACAACCAUAUAUAUGUAUCACAGUGUGUGGAAUUUUUUCUAUGCAUGUAGUGAUAGUAUGUAUUUGAUUAGCAAUGCGAUAGAUUUGGGAUACCUUCGGGACCCGUCUUGAAACACGGACCAAGAAGUCUAACAUGUGUGCGAGUCAUUGGGUAUAUUGUGUGAAACCUAAAGGCGAAAUUAAAAUAACUAUUUAUGGGAUUACAAGUAAUUUUUAAAUGAUUACUUCUCCAUCCCGGGGCGUUCUAUACGAACAUGGUUUAAGCAAUUAGAUCCUCUGUUCAAGAGCGUACCUUGAGCAUACAUGCUGUGACCCGAAAGAUGGUGAACUAUACCUGAUCAGGUUGAAGUCAGGGGAAACCCUGAUGGAGGACCGAAGCAGUUCUGACGUGCAAAUCGAUUGUCAGAAUUGGGUAUAGGGGCGAAAGACCAAUCGAACCAUCUAGUAGCUGGUUCCCUCCGAAGUUUCCCUCAGGAUAGCUGGUGCAGUGAUAAAUCUACAUAUAUAAUCUUAUCUGGUAAAGCGAAUGAUUAGAGGCCUUGGGGCCGAAACGACCUCAACCUAUUCUCAAACUUUAAAUGGGUAAGAACCUCAUCUUUCUUGAUCUGAAGAUAUAGAGGUUUAGAUAUAUUGUGCCCAGUGGGCCACUUUUGGUAAGCAGAACUGGCGCUGUGGGAUGAACCAAACGUGAUGUUACGGCGCCAAAAUUAAUGACUCAUAUAGAUACCAUGAAAGGCGUUGGUUGCUUAAAACAACAGGUCGGUAUACAUGGAAGUCGUAAUCCGCUAAGGAGUGUGUAACAACUCACCUGCCGAAGCAACUAGCCCUUAAAAUGGAUGGCGCUUAAGUCAUAUGCCUAUACAUCACCGCUAGAAUAAAAAAGUUUUUGCUUUAGUAAAAAUUUAUCAAAUUCUAGUGAGUAGGAGGGUACAAUGGUGUGCGCAGAAGUGUUUGGCGUGAGCCUGCAUGGAGCCGCCAUUGGCACAGAUCUUGGUGGUAGUAGCAAAUAAUCGAAUGAGAUCUUGGAGGACUGAAGUGGAGAAGGGUUUCGUGUGAACAGUGGUUGAUCACGAGUUAGUCGGUCCUAAGCUCUAUGCGAAAGCUGUUUAAUUUAUGUU